rnacentral:rRNA from 1 species
AACGAACGCUGGCGGCAGGCUUAACACAUGCAAGUCGAGCGCCCCGCAAGGGGAGCGGCAGACGGGUGAGUAACGCGUGGGAAUCUACCCAUCCCUACGGAAUAGCUCCGGGAAACUGGAAUUAAUACCGUAUACGCCCUACGGGGGAAAGAGUUAUCGGGGAUGGAUGAGCCCGCGUUGGAUUAGCUAGUUGGUGGGGGAAAGGCCGACCAAGGCGACGAUCCAUCGCUGGUCUGAGAGGAUGAUCAGCCACAUUGGGACUGAGACACGGCCCAAACGCCUAGGGGAGGCAGCAGUGGGGAAUAUUGGACAAUGGGGGCAACCCUGAUCCAGCCAUGCCGCGUGAGUGAUGAAGGCCUUAGGGUUGUAAAGCUCUGUUACCGGGGAAGAUAAUGACGGUACCCGGAGAAGAAGCCCCGGCUAACUUCGUGCCAGCAGCCGCGGUAA